CAAUAGCGUAUAUUAAAGUUGUUGCGGUAAAAAAGCUCGUAGUUGGAUUUCUGUUGAGAGCGACCGGUCCAUACCAUGUAUGCGUAUCUGGCUUGCUCUCGGCAUCCUCUCGAUAGACGUUACUGCGCUUGAUUGCGUGGUGCGGAUCUCGGGACUUUUACUUUGAGGAAAUUAGAGUGUUCACGGCAGGCUUUCGCCAGAAUACAUUAGCAUGGAAUAAUACUAUAGGAUCUUGGUUCUAUUUUGUUUGUUUCUAGAAUUGAGAUAAUGAUUAAUAGGGACAAUUGGGGGCAUUCGUAUCAACACGUCAGAGGUGGAAUUCUUGGAUUGUGUUGCGACGAACUACUGCGAAAGCAUUUGCCAAGGAUGUUUUCAUUGA
rnacentral:rRNA from 1 species